AAGUCGAGCGGAGACAGUGAGUAGCUUGCUAUGAGCUGUUUUAGCGGCGGACGGGUGAGUAACGCGUGAGCAACCUUUCCCAGACAGGGGAAUAACACACCGAAAGGUGUACUAAUACCGCAUAAGACCACGGGAUCACAUGGUUCUGGGGGUAAAAAGAAUUAUCGGGUUUGGGGGUGGGCUCGCGUCCGAUUAGGUAGUUGGUGAGGUAACGGCCCACCAAGGCGACGAUCAGUAGCCGGACUGAGAGGUUGACCGGCCACAUUGGGACUGAGAUACGGCCCAGACUCC
rnacentral:rRNA from 1 species